GACGAACGCUGGCGGCGUGCCUAAUACAUGCAAGUCGAACGCUUCUUUCCUCCCGAGUGCUUGCACUCAAUUGGAAAAAGGAGUGGCGGACGGGUGAGUAACACGUGGGUAACCUACCCAUCAGAGGGGGAUAACACUUGGAAACAGGUGCUAAUACCGCAUAACAGUUUAUGCCGCAUGGCAUAAGAGUGAAAGGCGCUUUCGGGUGUCGCUGAUGGAUGGACCCGCGGUGCAUUAGCUAGUUGGUAAGGUAACGGCUCACCAAGGCCACGAUGCAUAGCCGACCUGAGAGGGUGAUCGGCCACACUGGGACUGAGACACGGCCCAGACUCCUACGGGAGGCAGCAGUAGGGAAUCUUCGGCAAUGGACGAAAGUCUGACCGAGCAACGCCGCGUGAGUGAAGAAGGUUUUCGGAUCGUAAAACUCUGUUGUUAGAGAAGAACAAGGACGUUAGUAACUGAACGUCCCCUGACGGUAUCUAACCAGAAAGCCACGGCUAACUACGUG
rnacentral:rRNA from 1 species